rnacentral:lncRNA from 1 species
AUGAUCACUCACCUAGAGCCAGACAUCCUGGAAUGUGAAGUCAAGUGGGCCUUAGAAAGCAUCACUAUAAACAAAGAUAGUGGAGGUGAUGGAAUUCCAGUUGAGCUGUUUCAAAUCCUGAAAGAUGAUGCUGUGAAAGUGCUGCACUCGAUAUGCCAGCAAAUUUGGAAAACUCAGCAGUGGCCACAGGACUGGAACAGGUCAGUUUUCAUUCCAAUCCCAAAGAAAGGCAAUGCCAAAGAAUGCUCAAACUACCGCACAAUUGCACUUAUCUCACAUGCUAGUGAAGUAAUGCUCAACAUUCUUCAAGCCAGGCUUCAGCAAUAUGUGAAUCGUGAAUUUCCAGAUGUUCAAGCUGGUUUUAGAAAAGGCAGAGGAACCAGAGAUCAAAUUGCCAACAUCCACUGGAUCAUCAAAAAAGCAAGAGAGUUCCAGAAAACCAUCUAUUUCUGCUUUAUUGACUAUGCCAAAGCCUUUGACUGUGUGGAUCAGAAUAAACUGUGGGAAAUUCUGAAACAGAUGGGAAUACCAGACCACCUGACCUGCCUCUUGAGAAACCUAUAUGCAGGUCAGGAAGCAACAGUUAGAACUGGACACGGAACAACAGACUGGUUCCAAAUAGGAAAAGGAAUACAUCAAGGCUAUAUAUUGUCACCCUGCUUAUUUAACUUCUAUGCAGAGUACAUCAUGAGAAAUGUUGGGCUGGAAGAAUCACAAGCUGGAAUCAAGAUUGCCGGGAGAAAUAUCAAUAACCUCAGAUAUGCAGAUGACACCACCCUUAUGGCAGAAAGUGAAGAGGAACUAAAAAGCCUCUUGAUGAGAGUGAAAGAGGAACAUGAAAAUGUUGGCUUAAAGCUCAACAUUCAGAAAGUGAAGAUCAUGGCAUCUGGUCUCAUCACUUCAUGGGAAAUAGAUAAGGAAACAGUGGAAACAGUAUCAGACUUUCUUUUGGGGGGCUCCAAAAUCACUGCUGAUAGUGAUUGCAGCCAUGAAAUUAAAAGACGCUUACUCCUUGGAAGGAAAGUUAUGACCAACCUAGAUAGCAUAUUCAAAAGCAGAGACAUUACUUUGCCAACAAAGGUCCAUCUAGUUAAGGCUAUGGUUUUUCCAGUGGUCAUGUAUGGAUGUGUUGGACUGUGA